CCCUUAGAUGUUCUGGGCCGCACGCGCGCUACACUGAUGCAUUCAACGAGUUUCUUCCUGGUCCGAGAGGAAUGGGUAACCUUUUGAAAGUGCAUCGUGAUAGGGAUAGACUAUUGCAAUUAUUGGUCUUCAACGAGGAAUUCCUAGUAGACGUAGUUCAUCAGACUGCAUCGAUUACGUCCCUGCCCUUUGUACACACCGCCCGUCGCUCCUACCGAUUGAAUGCUCAGGUGAGCCAUUCGGACUUUCAUCAUGCUGGUUUCCAGUUUUGACGAAGGAAAGUCUUGCGAACCUUAUCAUUUAGAGGAAGGAGAAGUCGUAACA
rnacentral:rRNA from 1 species